UUGUCCCAGUAACGGCGAGUGAACGGAGAUUAGCCCAUCACCGAAGCCUAUUCACUGUUGUGGACAAGGCAAUGUGGUGUUCGGGCAUGCACCUGGGGACGCCAGCCUACUUGAAGUCCAACUCCGAUUAUGGCCAGGACCAUGCCCAGAGCGGGUGAAAGGCCCGUGCGGGUAGGUUGUGAAGCAUUUGUGGCGUUCCUCAGAC
rnacentral:rRNA from 1 species